GAUGAAGAACGCAGCGAAAUGCGAUACUUGGUGUGAAUUGCAGAAUCCCGUGAACCAUCGAGUCUUUGAACGCAAGUUGCGCCUCAAGCCAUUAGGUUGAGGGCACGUCUGCCUGGGCGUCACAUAUCGUUGCCUGAUGCCAGUUUCCUCGUGAUGGGUGACUGUGCAGGGCGAAUGAUGGCUUCCCGUGAGCAUUGUUGCCUCAUGGUUGGUUGAAAAUUGAGUCCUUGGUAGGGAGCGCCGUGAUAGAUGGUGGUUGAGUGACGAACGAGACCCAAUCAUGUGAGACCCCUACCGAAUUUGGCCUUCAUGACCCACAUGCGUCUUUGGAACGCUCAUGACGAGACCUCAGGUCAGGCGGGGCUACCCGCUGAGUUUAAGCAUAUCAAUAAGCGGACGA
rnacentral:misc_RNA from 1 species